UACGUAGGGCGCAAGCGUUGUCCGGAAUUAUUGGGCGUAAAGAGCUCGUAGGCGGUUUGUCGCGUCGGCUGUGAAAUCCCGAGGCUCAACCUCGGGUCUGCAGUCGAUACGGGCAAACUAGAGUAUUGCAGGGGGAGACUGGAAUUCCUGGUGUAGCGGUGAAAUGCGCAGAUAUCAGGAGGAACACCGGUGGCGAAGGCGGGUCUCUGGGCAAUAACUGACGCUGAGGAGCGAAAGCGUGGGGAGCGAACAGG
rnacentral:rRNA from 1 species